rnacentral:misc_RNA from 1 species
UCCGGUUUAACACCGGCAGUCCCCCUAGAGUGCCCUUGCGGUUGCAACUAAGGGUAAGGGUUUCGCUCGCUAUGGGACUUAACCCGACAUCUCACGACACGAGCUGACGACAGCCAUGCAGCACCUGUACUCGGCUCCCCCUUGCGGGGUUCGUUCCCGUUUCCGGGUCCUACUACCGAGCGCUUUCGCACAUGUCAAGUCCAGGAUAAGGUUCUUCGCGUAGCCUCGAAUUAAGCCACAUGCUCCACCGCUUGUGUGAGCCCCCGUCAAUUUCUUUGAGUUUCAGCCUUGCGACCAUACUCCCCAGGCGGGGUACUUAGCACUUUAGCUUCGGCAGUAAACGCAUGUCUCGUCUACUACCUAGUACCCAUCGUUUAGGGCUAGGACUA